CUGAAACCGUGUACGUACAAGCAGUGGGAGCACAGGUUUACCUGUGUGACUGCGUACCUUUUGUAUAAUGGGUCAGCGACUUAUAUUCUGUAGCAAGGUUAACCGUAUAGGGGAGCCGUAGGGAAACUGAGUCUUAACCGGGCGUUAAGUUGCAGGGUAUAGACCCGAAACCCGGUGAUCUAGCCAUGGGCAGGUUGAAGGUUGGGUAACACUAACUGGAGGACCGAACCGACUAAUGUUGAAAAAUUAGCGGAU
rnacentral:rRNA from 1 species